GUCAUCCAAAGCAGCUACCUCUCCGUGGUGGAUGACAGGCAACGACUGGAUAGCGCAGUCGGCCAAAAGCUGCA
rnacentral:ribozyme from 1 species